rnacentral:rRNA from 1 species
GAGUUUGAUCCUGGCUCAGAACGAACGCUAUCGGUAUGCUUAACACAUGCAAGUCGAACGGACUAAUUGGGGCUUGCUCCAAUUAGUUAGUGGCAGACGGGUGAGUAACACGUGGGAAUCUACCCAUCAGUACGGAAUAACUUUUAGUAAUAAAAGACUAAUACCGUAUAUUCUCUACGGAAGAAAGAUUUAUUCGCUGAUGGAUGAGCCCGCGUCAGAUUAGGUCGUUGGUGAGGUAACGGCUCACCAAGCCGACGAUCUGUAGCUGGUC